GAUGAACGCUGACAGAAUGCUUAACACAUGCAAGUCUUUGGUGAAGCUGUGCUUGCACAGCCUAGCCAAGGCGGACGGGUGAGUAACGCGUAAGGAACUUGCCCUGCAGUCAGGGAUAACAGACGGAAACGACUGAUAAGACCUGGUAAAGUCAGGCGGACUCAUGUCCAGCCUGAUGAAAAGAGAUGCUGCAGGAGAGCCUUGCGUCCUAUUAGCUUGUUGGUGGGGUAACGGCCCACCAAAGCAAUGAUAGGUAGCCGGCCUGAGAGGGUGGACGGCCACAAGGGGACUGAGAUACGGCCCUUACUCCUACGGGAGGCAGCAGUGGGGAAUAUUGGACAAUGGGGGCAACCCUGAUCCAGCAAUUCUGUGUGCACGAUGAAGGUUUUCGGAUUGUAAAGUGCUUUCAGCAGGGAAGAAAAAAAUGACGGUACCUGCAGAAGAAGCGACGGCUAAAUACGUG
rnacentral:rRNA from 1 species